GGUUAAACAAAUAAUUAAUCACGAACUCGUCAAAGCUAGGGUUUAAGCUCGUUUCAUCGAGAAAUCUUGCCGACGACGAAACCAUGUUUCCAGGAUUGUUCAUGCGUAAACCUGACAAAGCAGCUGCUCUCAAGCAGCUGAAGACUCACGUCGCCCUCUUCGGAGCUUGGGUCGCCGUAAUUCGGGUCACCCCAUAUAUCCUCCACUAUUUUUCGGAUCAGAAAGAAGAACUCCUCCUCGAGCUCUAAAUCCCUAUUAUUUUUUGCACUUCUUUCUACUCAGGACUUUGUUCAACGGCAAAGGAUGUGUGGCAGGCGCACAUCGUGAGUUCGAAUUUUGGGUGGUGAACAAAAGUCCGGUAUCUAAAUGGAGAAGAGUAGAGGGGCCUAGCCCCAUUAUCUACCGAGUUUUGAACCGUGGCACCAAUGACCCUUGGGGAUUUCUCGGUUGUAAAAAAAAUUUAGUGUGGCUUUCGUACAAGUUCCUUAAUCUUGAUAUGUUUAAGUUGCUUACUCCUAGUAUAUCAGUUGUUUAUAAUUUCAGUUUGGACUGGAAUUCAUGCAUGUGCUCACAUAGUUUCUCUAGAGGAAGGAAUAUUUGGAAGAAAAGUAGCUAGUGUUCUCUACACAUCUGUUGACCCUCUUCUCAGUCAUUUCUGUCUCUACAUUUCAUUUUCAUUUGUCGAUAUGAUUCUGAAUUUGUCAGGUUGGCAUAUAAUUGGGAAUUGUAUGGUUGUACCCUAGUUAUUUGAGAUAAAAUUUGCUGCGGAAACUCUCUCUUGGUUUAUUGACACAAAAGUCAUAUGUGUGAAUUUGAUGGCUUUCCCACCUAGAUUAGAUACCCAUCUUCCCCAGCAAUCCUUGCACUAUGUUACUGAAUGCAUAAAUGAUCCCAUAAGUGAGAUUUAGCGUGGUUCUAUCUGUAAUGUUACCAAUGCAAUAUGGCCACCAAAUCGCCUCUUGUUAUGUUU